GAGUUUGAUCCUGGCUCAGAUUGAACGCUGGCGGCAUGCCUUACACAUGCAAGUCGAACGGCAGCACGGGAGCUUGCUCCUGGUGGCGAGUGGCGAACGGGUGAGUAAUGCAUCGGAACGUAUCCUGGAGUGGGGGAUAACGUAGCGAAAGUUACGCUAAUACCGCAUAUUCUGUGAGCAGGAGAGCGGGGGACCUUCGGGCCUCGCGCUCUUGGAGCGGACGAUGUCGGAUUAGCUAGUUGGUGAGGUAAAGGCUCACCAAGGCGACGAUCCGUAGCAGGUCUGAGAGGAUGAUCUGCCACACUGGAACUGAGACACGGUCCAGACUCCUACGGGAGGCAGCAGUGGGGAAUUUUGGACAAUGGGGGCAACCCUGAUCCAGCCAUGCCGCGUGAGUGAAGAAGGCCUCGGUUGUAAG
rnacentral:rRNA from 1 species